rnacentral:lncRNA from 1 species
GGUCAUUUCCAGCUCAACUGUGCUCUUUCUGUGUCACUUGAAUUACCAAACUGCUUUGUGUCUGCUUCUUAUCUUUGAAAUGUGAAUAUUACAGAGUUGAACUCAGUAACCUUUGUAAAGCAUGUUGGGAAAGCACUAGGCUUGUUGAUGGCCAUCUUUGCUUUGGGAUUGUAUCUGUAUAGAUCUUCUGAUGUGAUUUAUUGGUAAAUUUAUUAGUUAAAAUUCCAUAAAUGCUUUAGUGCCAGCAAAUCCCUCAAGUAGAAUUAUACACAUUUUUUCUAAGUUCGAAAGCUUCCAAAACGAGUGCUUACUGCAGAAGCUUGCGUUGCUAACGGGGACUGAUUCUUAGCACAUUAGGAAUCAAAGAAAUGUGAUUUUACUGUCUUGCAAUGCAAAUCUUUUGUGCAUGCAUCCCAGGAGCUCACACCUCACACUGGCAUAGUGCAGCAGUAGCGCUGUAGAGGUGCCCCUCUGAAGCAGUGCUUUGUAAAAUUUCAAACUGUGGAUCCACCCAAGAAAGAAAAAUGACAAACUGUCCUGCUCUAAUGGCUUUGAUUCCCAAGCAGCCACAAUUUAUGCUACAAUUGGAAUGUUGCAUUACUUUGAUUUCUUCUGCUUUGCUUGUUAGUAUAGGUGUCAAUGCAUGUGGUUUUAUAUAGCCUUUUUGCAGCUGUUUCACAGAUCGUAUUCCCAUCUGACAGACCACAGGUCAAAUAGCAGUGUACAUUCCAGGGACAGAUAAUCAAUGCAUUUAUUUAGGGCUUUCUCAAAAGCUAAUUAGAAAGAGAUGUGUGUGGGCCACUGGAAUGGAAGGACAAAGGUGAUGGUGCAACUGGCAUUUAAUGAGAAAGGUGUAAAUGAAAAGUUUCUUUCUGUAAGUGAAUCGAACAGGUUUAACAAUUCGGGUUGGUUUCUGAUGGAAGAUGCAUUCGCUGACUGUAUGAAUAAGUGUUUUUUUAAUACAAUAAAAACAGUCAUUUCCGUGAUAACCACUGCUGUGAUGGCAGCACUGGAAAUUGUCAGUCCUGGUGGAUAAGUGGAAAGUAACUGGGCUCUGAUUACACUUCAGGACCUUUUAAUAAAAUCUGGGAGGAAAGCAAUAAAUACACUUUCUCUAGGAGGCUCUGUUGUAUCCGGAGUCUCCUCAUCUCUGUGUCUGUGACAGCAGUUUGCUAAUAAAAUUAUUGAUCACGUCCAUAAACAACCUUCUAACCUCAGUUAGUAGUGAUGAUAAAUGAACUACAACUAGUGUUCCCAUGCUGCUAUUUUGCAACAAGAAAAAGUGCAAAGGUUACCUUUUAUCAUGCUCCUGGGUGGAGACACACUGCCUGGACUUUUACUUAGUUAAAUGACGGCGAUAAAUUUAUUUACGACACCUGGGUCAGGAGCACUUGGCCCUUUACAUUUUUGCCAGCUUGUAUGAAUUGAAAUUCAUUUUUAAUACUGCUGCAAAGUUCCAGGAAUUUGGCAGUCCCUGUGUUAUACAGUGGUAGUUCGUGGAUCAUGCAGAAAUAUCAGCUACUUAAUAGUCACUGUAAUACUGAUGCAUAGCUGUCGUUGCUAGUAUAAUAAAUGUAUACAGGUUAAUGUACAACUUUGAAAUGAACACAACGUGCACUUGCAAUGAAAGCAGAGAUACCUACACGAAAUAGCACAAAUAGCACAGUUUUUUCCCUAUAAAUACUCCAGAAGCUCUUUUUCCUUACCAUUUAGAGAACGUGACCAAUUAUCCAUCACAUUUCAGCUUUCACUGAAAAUAUGGCAUAAUAAAGUAUGUUCAGACUUCUCAGAUGUUCUUAAAUGUUGAUUUUCUCAACAGGGUAGGGUAAUGGAGAAAGGAGAUGGGAAAAGUCUUUCUAGAGAUUUAAGCGUACCCUUAUACUUUUAUAUAUCUAUAAAUUAUGAAGUGUUAACUGUGUUGGUAAAUUUAGAACAUAAAAAUACAAACAAAAUAUCCCCAUGAGCUGAUGGUAGGGCUUGGGAAUGCACAUGGGCAGGCAAGGAGCCUCAGCUGUGUACCGUGUUUAUAUUGGCAAAACCAGAUCAACAAAUGCUCACACAGGAUUGUUUGUGCACUGCCAGCGUAACAAGUGCACCAGUGGCAGGCGUGUGUUGUGUUGCAUUUACACUUGUGGUUUUUUUUCCUGCAGCCAAGCAUGUCUGUUGAGUAUGGGAUGAUAUUCAUGAUCGGUGUAAUUGUACCAGCAGAAGUCCCUCCGUGUAAUUUCAGGUAGUGGCAAAUCUUUGCCAUUUCAGUGAUAGAACUUGCAUCCUCAUAAGCAAGACCAUCCAUAGUGCACAGGUCAGGUCACAGUCAUUGAACAGAGUCACAGAAUUAUUUGAGUUGGAAGGGACCUUUGGAGGUCAUCUAGCCCAGCUCCCUGCAGUGAACAGGGACAUCUUGUGCUGCUCUGGAGAGUUACCCUCGCG